GAGCCCCUCUCAGGUGGGUAGCUAGCCACCUCUCUCCGCCAGAUACCCCAACCGAACUUCGGCCGACAGGUCUGGACCCCCUGGCAGGCCACAGUAACAGCCACGACUUUGCUCCACUUCCUAUGAUGGGUUCCGCGUGGCUCCAUCACCCUCUGGCAUACCGCAGUGACGGCCAUGAUUUUGCUCCACUUCCUACAGUGGAUACCGUGCAGUUUCUCCACCCUCUGGCAAGUCACGACAAUGGACGUCGCUCCACUCCCCACAA
rnacentral:lncRNA from 1 species